AGUCAGUCGCAGCUCGCGCGUGCGGGAGGGAGGGAGGACACAUUGAAGCUCAUAGAAAGCUCGUGCGACAGUUUUAUCCUCGAUGAUUAUUUGUUUUUUUUUUUACUCUAUUUCCUCUGAUUGGAUGCGUUCAGAUCACGCAUCGAUCUCGGCGGGAUUGAAAUAGUUGGAGGAUAUUGACUGGAGUGGAGUUAGCUUAAUGUGCAAGUAAGUGGGAUGCUGCCUUUAUGUGAUUGAGUUGUCUCUGGCUUCUGUGUAUUUAUAUUUUAUUUUAGUCCACAGCCUGCUUUUUAAAGGCAGUUGCAUGUAUUCCUGGAGGCUGCUUAAUUCUGGUGUGUUUCUUGUAAACUGUAGCUGUGACAUUAGCAUUAAAGGAUGUUUGGUGGGAACUUUAUUGUCUUAAAGGCCCACUGCUGUGUGCCUCAAAACUGAUGCAGUCCUAACAAUGUAUAUAUAAAAAAUAACAACAACCCUGACAGCCUAAAAAAUGGGUUUAUUUACCACCAAAUGAUUGGGACAGGGUUGCAAAUGGAUGGGUUAGUGUGUCUGAUAAGGCCUUGCUUCAAGUGUUUCAAGGCAAAAAGUGCCACCUCAGCAUCAAACCGAGACUGUGGUUGAGCAUGCUUAGAGUUUUGGCAUCACAGUGUGUUUUAAAAUGGUUUCUUAAAGUUGAACUUCAUGAUGGGCCGAGAUGUGUGAGUGUGUGUGGAUGUGAAACACGUCUUUGAAGCCAGUGCCUCAUUUUAUUCAUCUAUUGAACUUGUUUUCAUCUCCUUAUGAGAAUUUCACAGCUGAAAUCCACGGUAGAGCUUUUCUUUUAUUGUGCAUCUUGUCUAUAUGUUUUGUGUGUGUGUGAGUGAGUGAGUGAGUGUGUGUGUAUGAGGAGCUCAGUGUGAACACAGGCAGCCUCUCUUUCGCUCUCUCUCCCUCCUUCAUCCUCUCCUCUCUCUCUGUUGGUGUUGGAGGGGCGGCCCCUUUAA
rnacentral:lncRNA from 1 species